rnacentral:rRNA from 1 species
UACGUAGGGGCCUAGCGUUGUCCGGAAUCAUUGGGCGUAAAGAGCUCGUAGGCGGUUCGGCAAGUCACGUGUGAAAUCUCCACGCUUAACGUGGAGGCGCCACGUGAAACUGCCGUGACUCGAGUCCGGUAGGGGAGUGUGGAAUUCCCGGUGUAGCGGUGAAAUGCGCAGAUAUCGGGAGGAACACCGAUGGCGAAGGCAGUUCUCUGGGCCGUAACUGACGCUGAGGAGCGAAAGCGUGGGGAGCGAACAGG